rnacentral:tRNA from 1 species
ACUUGGAUGGCCGAGUGGUUAAGGCGUUGGACUUAAGAUCCAAUGGGCAAAUGCCCACGUU